rnacentral:rRNA from 1 species
UGGGGAAUUUUGCGCAAUGGGGGCAACCCUGACGCAGCAACGCCGCGUGAGUGAUGAAGGUCUUCGGAUCGUAAAGCUCUGUCGGCGGGAACGAUGCUUUCGCUAGUUAACACCUAGCGGAAUCGACGGUACUCGCAAAGGAAGCACCGGCUAACUCUGUGCCAGCAGCCGCGGUAAGACAGAGGGUGCGAGCGUUGUUCGGAAUUAUUGGGCGUAAAGGGUGCGUAGGCGGCCUUGUAAGUUAGAUGUGAAAGCCCCGGGCUUAACCCGGGAAGUGCAUCUAAUACUGCAAGGCUUGAGUGCUGGAGAGGGUGGUGGAAUUCCCAGUGUAGAGGUGAAAUUCGUAGAUAUUGGGAGGAACACCCGUGGCGAAGGCGGCCACCUGGACAGACACUGACGCUGAGGCACGAAAGCGUGGGGAGCAAACAGG